CCCUUAGAUGUUCUGGGCCGCACGCGUGCUACACUGACCGGCGCAACAAGUUUCUUUCCUUGGCUCGAUAGGCCUGGGUAAUCUUUGAACGCCGGUCGUGAUGGGGAUAGAUCCUUGCAAUUUUUGAUCUUCAACGAGGAAUUCCUAGUAAAUGCGAGUCAUCAUCUCGCGUUGAUUACGUCCCUGCCCUUUGUACACACCGCCCGUCGCACCUACCGAUUGAAUGGUCCGGUGAAGCCUCGGGACGGCGGCUUGGUCGCUUGCGUCCGACUGCUGAAACUUGAUUAAACCAUAUCAUUUAGAGGAAGGUGAAGUCGUANCA
rnacentral:rRNA from 1 species